UUUUUUUUUCCGACUCUCUUUUUGUCCGACGAUUUUGGCGAUUGAGGGUAGAUUUAAGGGAGAAAUUCUAGUGUAUGAGCGUGCGUUCGGCCGGAUCGUCAUCUCUAGAGCCACUGCUCAUCAUCAGUGAUGGGAGAUUAAGCAAAUCGGAGAUCCAUAUCUUCCGAAUUGGAGAGCAAUCGACGAAGGAAGCUCCCGUUUGUUUCUAAUGGUAUAAAUCUUGUCCUUUUCCCAGGUUUUCAUGAUUAAAUCUUGUAGUUUGAUGUUGGUCAAUUAGGGUUCUCCGAUUUUUACCAAAUUAGGAUUAUGUUUUGUAAAUUAGGGUUCUUAGUUCUAAGAAUCGAUUAGGGUUACUUGAAUCAAUUUGGAGGUUUGUGUUUGUUAUUUGGCAUGAUUGAAGACUAAUCGAGUCAUUGAAUGUUUGAUUAGUCUUCAUAGUUUUGGAUAAAUUAGGGUUCUUAGUUCUAUGCAUCAAUUAGGGUUAAAAGAAUAAAUUUGGGGACUCUGUUAUAGUUCUUUGGCAUGAUUGACGACGAAAUUUGAGAAGAGUUUGAUUUUGAUAUGUACUGUCGGAAAUCAUAUUUUAUUUUGGAGAUGCUCUAAGUAUUAUCGGAUUUUACAUGAUUCAUACACUGUUUUGUUUUCAGUCUUCAUACAUUGAAUUUGAUUUGUAUAUCUCUCUGAUUUGCUUGAAUCAAUUUGUCAAAUAAAUGUGUAAUCUGAUUUGUAGUCUUAAUGUUUGUGGUAAUAUAAUUUCUUUUUCUCUGUUUUUGGUGAGGGUAAAUGGAGUGUCUGGAAGUGGAGAAAGCAGAUUGGUGUUGUCGUUUAGGAGAAUCUGCAAGUGGAUAAAGGCAUAGAUUUAACAGCCAUAAAUGAAGGUAAAUUUGCCUUGUGUUUGUGUUUGCAUUCUAUGAGCUUUAUGUUAUAUGCACAUUAGGUAGAGAUUUAAAUAAAGAGUUAAGUAAACUGAGCAUUGCUGCUUUAUGUUAUAAACAAUGGUGUUGUCGUUUAGGAGAGCUCAUUGUGUUUGUUAUAUCAUUGAUUUCUGUUUUAUGUUAGGUAUAGAGUUAAGUAUAUAAUUAAGUAAACUGAUCGAGAAUCAAACUUUAAGUUUUUACUGUUCCCAGUUUUUUUUGUGAUAAAUGCAUUGUAUGUUCUCUCUGAUCAAUGCAUAGUUGGUUUAGAUUAGGUAAAGACUUUAGUGUCUUUAUCAUGUCAUUGAUUGCUAACACUAGUUAGAACUUCAUGAUAGUAGGAUUUUAACUAAGAUCAAUUAUCCUUAAAUCACUAUCAUGUCAUUGCAGUAUUUAAGGUGUCAAUCCAAAUGGGUGUGAUGCUAGCAAUCAAGAUGCAAUCAGAUUUCACAGAGUCAAGCCAAGCAAUAACAGGUUUUGAUGUUGUUAACAGUUCCAGUGAUCAUGCAGAAAACAAUAAUUCUAACAGAAACAGAUAACACACUCGAUCACACAGCUUAAUGCCAAGCACUGGAUGUGGUCGAGUGCCAGGUCGAGUACCAAACAGAAACUGCAACAAAUGUACUCGACUGCACAGUCCGUUUCCAAACCGCUGGGUGUGGUCGAGUACUUCAAGUGAAAUAAGUAAAAAUGCAAAAACUAAGCAACAAGUAACGAGAUCAAGCAAUCAAUAGCGAUGUGAACAAAGAAAUCAAUUGGAAGAGAAAUUCCCGAGGAUGGGGUGAUCGAGUAGUGAAGUCUCCUUAAUCUAACAGGUGGUUAACAUGCUCAACAAACUAUCCCUAGACAACAAGUUCAAUAGCCAAAUCAAAGUGCUACCGCAACAGAGAUCCUCAAGCAAAGCUAGUCCCAGACUCAAUCACCAUUGACGAGAGCUAACCUAACAGGCAUUAUGAAACAACAAGUCUAAGCCAAAACGCUCCCUGUAACCAAUACCUUGGUACAGAGCCACGAAUCUCUGGAAUUAGUGGUUCAGACAUUUCAUCGAACACCUUUUGGGUGCGGAAAUGUCUGGGCUCAGAUUCCAGUUGAUCAGAAAGCAAUCAGCAUUAAGAACAACUAAUCCAGAAGGGAUCUACCAAUCAAACUCAACCACCUAGCAGAUCAAGGAUUCUAAACUACUCUAACCCAUCCUCAAGAACCCUAAUCACUACUCAAAAUUCAUAACCAAGAACACAAACCCAGAAAUACAUAAAAACUUCAUAUUAGCAAGAUCUCAACAAGAUGAACAACUUUGUAGAAGAAAUCAAAAGCAAAUACUCAAUAGAUUAAGAGAAAUCUGGAUUACAAAUAUGAAGAAAGCACUAAUUGUUCUGCAGAAUAAAACUUAGUCUGAAAAUUAUGAGAAACAACCUAUUUAUAGCAAAUACUAGGAAACCCUAAAUCACAAAACGACAAAGUAUUAAGGCGGUUUACGGAGACAUUCGGCUUCGUGCAAUCGAGUGAAGAGGUCGAGCAAAGCUGGCUCCUUUGCGGUUUCUUGAUCUGGUCGUGAUGCGAUCGAGUGACUAGGUCGAGUAUGCACUCGAGUCCCGCUUCAUCUUGAUCUCUUCCUUAUGCUCAGUGUCUGGUUGAGUUGGGAUCUGAGAAGCCUUUGAAGCGUGCAGUCGAGUGCUUGGUCGAGUAAGUUGGUGGAGGAUACUCGACUGCAUGCUCGAGUCGUGAUCUGGAGUCGUGGUCUACUUGGUGAAGGAGCUGGUACUCGACCACGAGGUCGAGUGGUAGGUCGAGUUGGUGAAGGAGAGGGUACUCGACCACGAGGUCGAGUGGUAGGUCGAGUUGGUGAAGGAGAGGGUACUCGACUUGGUGAUGGACUUGGUGAUCGACUUGGUGCUCGAGUUGGUGAUCGACUUGGUGCUCGACUUGGUGCUCGACUUGGUCGUGGUCGAGUGCAUUUGGAAGGUCAUGAUGAUGGUGCUCGACCUCGUGGUCGAGCAUACUGAUGGGUUCUGGUCCACUUCUUCCAAUUUGCUCACCAACAGCUCCAGAUCACCUGAAAACAACUCAAAUAUGCAACAUGCAUGCAAAACUAUCCUAAUCAUGCAAAGUGAUGACAAAUGAUGAAAAAAUGGUAUGAAACAAUGACGAAAUGAUGAUAAAGUGAUGCUAAAUGGAUGCUCAAAACAAGUAAAAUAUAGACAUAACAACUCCCCCAAACUUAGUCUUUGCUUGCCCUCAAGCAAACAAUUAAGAACAAGCUGGAGGAGAGGUUUGAAAGCGGGGACUCAGAACCAAAGCAUGCAGACAAAGCAAAUGAACUCAAUGUCCAAGUUAGUAAUUGUGGAAUGCUUAGAGACCAAACUCUACUUAAAAACUUUAGCCAUAUUCAUCACAAGACAACCUAACAUUUGUUCCAAUCUACACACACCUUCAGAUCAUCAAUUCCCUUUAACAUUGAUUAAGCUCUAACCAUGAAUCAAGCAAAACAUUGUUGAAGAACUCAUUUGGUUUAAAGGACAAGGCUGAGAAACAAAGAUGGUUCCUCUGUAAAUGGUUUCAGACUUUUUCACAGUAACAGGGAACUCUCAUGAAUGGACAGAGCUUUAGUAGAAUGCUAAAGGUUAGAACCAACCUACGCAUACAAGAACAGACCCCAUCUACCCAAAUAACCAUAAGUAUAUCAAACUCCAUAGAUGGUCCUAUCUCUAAACCCCAGAAAUGAUCCUAAUUCUACCCUUUUGCACUCAAGGCAUGUUUCAAUAAUCUCUUGGAUCAACCCAUUCUUUGUUUUUGGUUUUUGUUCUAAGGAGAGGUUUUCUUUUAGACUUUCUAGCGGAUUGGGACUUUCUUUAACAACUAAGGCUCUUCUUCUCAUCUCAUGACUUAAGACAACUCUAGGCUUUUGCCUUUCUUUUUACUUUGCACAGAGCCUAACUUCUUUUAUUUUCAAGCUUCCCAAUUUUUUUACUAGACUAACAUGAUAUUCUUUUCUGUUUCACUUUCAUCUCCUAAGAACAAUAACACUUGUCUUUCUUUCUCAUUUUUAUUCCAAACACAUUCCCAAACCCAAAGUAAAACUCCCACCUAGUCCUAUCUAGCCCAAAAAGCGUGGACUAGAACUACAUGGGAUACCAUUCUUGUCGGUUCAUACCUAACACUUUCUACCAAGCUCAAUCUGGAAAUAGGCCUCACACACACACAAAUUUAUUCAGGGCUUGAAAGAAAGGUUAGGUUCAGGGUGGGGGAAACUGUUCCAAUGAUGGGAAUCAGCUACUUGGAUUAGCAAGAGUGGUAGAAGGUGAAAGAAAAUCCAAGUAUGUGUAUUGGUAGCCACAAGUUCAACAACAAUGCAAAGACAUGAUAAUUAUAAGUCAAGUUCAGGUUCUAAUAGAUAGGGAAAAGAAUCACAUCAAGCAUGCUUCAAUUAAAACAAGAGAGUCAAGUUGUGAAUUCCAAAUAUGGUGCAGUCUUAAUUCAAGUUCUAUCACAAGCAUUAAACAACUAAUAACGAGGGCAUUGAAUUCAUUCAGUAAAUGAGCAUGCUUACAAGGUUAUCGCAUCAUCAUCCCCUAUGCAAAUGCAACAAUCCUAUAUGAAACCUUCUAGACUCAAUCUUAAAAUGAAAAUGCAACUACAUGAACACUCUAUUUUUGUGAAAUCAUUUUCAGAAAUUUUUCAAAUUUUUAGGGUUUUUUCAAUAACAUAGAUGAAUGCAGACAAUAUGUAAUAUGCAAGAAAAAUUUGAAAACAAGAACAAAGCAAACUCAUCAGAUACUUCUUGAGCCCUCCCCCAAACUUAAAUCACACAGUCCGCUGUGUGACCAAAUUUGGAAGAGAGUACUCAGGACAAAUAAAUAAAGAAAGAAAACAUGAGAUGGUAUAAACAAUGGGGAAGUGGAGUUGUUACCUCAACUGAAGAAGGAGUUGAUGUUCUCAUCAAUGCUUGCUUGUGUAAACAUCAUACUCGACCAUGUUUCUUCAUCAGCAUGUGGCCUCGCAUGAUAGAGUGACAUGUUGAAACUUCAAAAAUCUUGAGACUAAAACCCCAUUGAUACUCGAUCACACAGCUUCACUUGCUCUUUGCCCUUGUGGUCGAGUAUUCUAUUGCACUCUGAGCUAGAGUCCACUUCACUUUGCACUUGACACACAUUUCCUGAAAACCAAAACACUACCAAAACGCAUUAAAAUAACAAGGAAAUAAAAAUAUGUACAUGGAUAGACAUGGGACUUCCUCCCAAGUGAGCUUGUUUUAAGUCAUUAGCUUGACUUCCUUACUCCCUUAAGCAUCAAGAGGUUCCUGGAGAUGAACUGAGGUCACCUCUGGGAAGAUUUGAUCUGCUAAGUAUUUCUUGAGUCUUUGGCCAUUCACUGUGAAAUCUCCACUCUUACCAGCUAGAGUGAUUGCUCCAUAAGGGCGAACUUCAGUAACACAGAAGGGACCAGACCAUCUAGACUUGAGCUUUUCUGGAAAGAGUUUCAGGCGAGAAUUGAAUAGCAGCACCUGAUCACCAACUUGGAAGUCCUUGGUGAUGAUCUUCUUAUCAUGGAAAAGCUUAGUCCUUUCUUUGUAGAUUUUAGAGCUCUCAUAAGCUUCUAAGCGAAUCUCAUUGAGAUCUUUCAGUUGGAUCAACCGCUUCUCCUCAGCGGUUUUGAUGUCAAAGUUCAGAAGCUUCACAGCCCACAUAGCCUUGUACUCGAGCUCAACAGGUAAGUGACAGGAUUUUCCAUAGAGAAGGUUGAAGGGAGUUGUACCAAUAGGGGUUUUGAAUGUUGUCCUGUAAGCCCAUAGUGCAUCAUCUAGCUUUGCAGACCAGUCUUUCCUUGUAGUCCCAACAGUCUUCUCCAGAAUUGCUUUUAUCUCCCUGUUGGAGAUCUCAACCUGACCACUUGUCUGUGGAUGAUAAGGAGUGGCUACCUUAUGCUUCACUCCGUGUUUCUUCAAUAAGUUCUCAAAGACUUUGUUGAUGAAGUGUGUACCUCCAUCACUGAUGACGACCCUUGGUAUACCAAAUCUAGGGAAAAUUAUGGUUUUAAACAUCUUCAGAACCACCCUUGAGUCAUUUGUCGGACUUGCAAUGGCCUCAACCCACUUGGACACGUAGUCUACUGCUACCAAGAUGUAUUUGUUCCCAUAGGAAGAAGGGAACGGCCCCAUAAAGUUGAUUCCCCAGACGUCAAAGAUUUCUACCUCUAGUAUAGGAUUUUGUGGCAUUUCAUUUCUUCUGCUGAUGUUUCCCAUCCUUUGGCAUGAGUCACAUCUUGAUAUGAACUGCUGGGCGUCUUUGAACAUGGUUGGCCACCAGAAGCCUGCUUGCAGUACCUUAGAUACUGUCUUAAAAGUCACAAAGUGACCACCAUAUGUUGAACCAUGGCAGUGAAGCAAGAUGUCUUCCACUUCCUCCUCUGAGAUACAUCUUCUGUAAAUUUUGUCUUUACAGAGAGUGUAAAGAUAUGGCUCAUCCCAGUAGUAGUGGUUGAUAUCUCUGAAAAACUUCUUCUUUUCAUAACUGGUCAGGUUGGGAGGCUCUACUCCGCAGGCCAAGUAAUUGACAUGAUCAGCAUACCAUGGAGAUUUUCCUUCAACAGCAUUCAGUUGGUGAAACUCAUUCCCCCUGUAAUUCUUUCCAAAGAAUUCUGUAACCAUGAGUUGCUCCUCUGGCAUCAAAUCAUCAAUAGGGACUUCAUCAUCGGUCCUCAUCCUUGAUAAGUGAUCAGCUACACCGUUCUCUAUACCCUUCUUGUCUACUAUUUCCAUGUCAAACUCUUGCAGAAGUAGUAUCCAUCUCAAUAGUCUUGGCUUAGUGUCCUUCUUUGCAUAAAUGUGUCUCAAGGCUGCAUGAUCUGUGUAGACUAUGACUUUAGAACCCACCAAGUAGCUUCUGAACUUUUCAAACGCAAAAACAACUGCCAAUAACUCCUUCUCUGUCGUGGCAUACUUCACCUGAGCAUCAUCCAUUGUUCUACUUGCGUAAUAGAUGACAUGGAGCUUCUUGUCAAUCUUUUGUCCCAAGACUGCUCCUACAGCGUAAUCUGAGGCGUCACACAUGAUUUCGAAUGGAUAGUCCCAGUUUGGAGCUUGGACUAUUGGAGCUGAAAUUAGAGCUUCCUUGAUGAGUUGAAAAGCUUUCAGGCAUUCCUCAUCAAAAUCAAACUCUGUUUCCUUGCACAGCAGCCUUGUCAUUGGUCUUGCCAGCUUGGAGAAAUCCUUGAUAAACCUUCUAUAAAACCCAUCAUGUCCCAGAAAACUUCUCACAUCUUUGACACUCCUUGGUGGUUGCAACUGCACCAUAACCUCAAUCUUUGCUCUGUCAACUUCUAUACCCUUCUUGUGCCCCAAUACAAUGCCUUCUUUGACCAUGAAAUGGCAUUUUUCCCAGUUGAGUACUAAGUUUGUCUCUUCGCACCUAGAAAGUACCCUGCACAAGUUUGACAAACAAGAGGAGAAGGAGGAGCCAUACACGGAAAAGUCAUCCAUGAAUACCUCAACCAUCUCCUCAAUUAAAUCCGAGAAGAUAGAAGUCAUGCACCGCUGAAAUGUAGCUGGUGCAUUACAGAGACCAAAAGGCAUUCUUUUAUAUGCAAAGGUUCCAUAUGGACAUGUGAAUGUAGUUUUCUCUUGAUCAUUAGGGUGAAUUGGUAUUUGAAAGAAACCACUAUAACCAUCAAGAAAGCAGUAGUAUGGGUGAUUAGCUAACCUUUCUAGCAUUUGAUCAAUGAAUGGAAGUGGAAAAUGAUCUUUCCUAGAUGCAGAAUUCAACUUCCUAUAGUCAAUGCACAUUCUAUGUCCAGUUAUAGUUCUAGUGGGUAUGAGCUCAUCUUUAUCAUUUUUUACAACAGUCAUACCUCCUUUCUUUGGAACACAAUGAACUGGAGAUACCCAAGUGCUAUCGGAAAUAGGGUAAAUUACACCUGCUUCCAAUAGUUUAAGUAUCUCCUUCUUUACAACUUCUUUUAAAUUAGGAUUCAACCUUCUUUGGGGUUCAAUGCUCGAAUAAGAUUCAUUUUCAAGAUGAAUGCGAUGUGUGCAUAAACUAGGUGAAAUGCCCUUUAUAUCAUCAAGUGAAUAACCAAUGGCUCUUCUAUACUUUUUCAGUUCAGUUAACAGAAGAUGCACUUGUUCAUCAGUUAAUGCAUCAUUCACAAUGACAGGAUAUGUAGAGUUGUUACCUAGAAAUGCAUACCUGAGUCCUUUGGGAAGCGGCUUAAGUUCAACUUUUGGUGCCUUGAGUUCAGACCAGUCGUCUGAUGUUGGAAUGAUCAGCUCCGCAUGGAUGUCAACUGUAGUGGUCGAGUGUUCAGUCGAGUAAGUCCUCGAGUGAGCAGGUUGAGCCUGAGUUGAGUCCUCGUCAUUCACUGCCAUUACCUCUGUUGCUGACCCAUUCAAUUCCUCAAAGGAUUCCGACUCUUCUACUGCUUUGUGUGAGUCCAACAGCUUCUGGUAACCCAAAGUUUCUAAAUGCAAAAACCCUUCUUCACCAUUCUUGGUCAAAGCACUCUUAAGGUGAUCUUCUUCUGCUAGUUCCUCUAGUAACUCAUUAGCUAACUGAUCCAUUUCUUCAAUCCAAAAGAGUUGCCCUUCUAUAGUUGGCUUCUUCAUUGCAUCCUUUAUAUCAAAGGUCAUUUUAAGGUCUUUACCAAGGUUCAGAUCGAUCUUCCCCUUCUUGACAUCAAUGAUAGCUCCAGCAGUCGCCAAGAAAGGUCUUCCCAGAAUCAGAGGGUCCUUUGGUUCUUCAUCCAUUUCAAGCACUACAAAAUCAGUAGGUUUCUCUACGACUCCGAUCUUGAUUGGUAAGUCUUCAAGCAGGCCAUGAGGUAUUCUGAUGGAUCUGUCUGCUAGAAUCAGAGAGAUAUUGCAAGCUUUGUAUUUGCUGAAACCAAGUCUUUUCGCAACUGAGAGAGGCAUGAGGCUCACUGAUGCGCCUAGAUCGCAGAGGCAUCUGUUGAAUGAUAAAGGACCUAAUGAACACGGUAGAGUGAAUGAGCCAGGAUCACCAAGCUUCUUUGGAAUGAUCUUCUUCUGUAUAAUAGCACUGCAUUCAUGACUCAAUACUACCAUUCCUUGCACUUCUUGAAUUCUUUCCAUGAUCAGGUCUUUCAGAAACUUGUGGGAAUCCAGAAUAAGCGCGAGAGCAUCAACAAGAGGUAUUCUUAAUUCAACUUCUUUGAUGUUCUUGGCAAACAUAGCUCUAUACUUUUCUGCCAAUGCUUUCUUGUGUCGUCCAGGGAAUGGAAGUGGGGGUUUGUAAGGAGGAGGAACAAAAACCUUCUCCUUGUUCUUAGCAGCAACUGGUUUUAGAACAACAGGUGAUGUUACUGGAAUUGGUGAUCGAGUAGCAUGGUCGAGUGGAGGGUCGAGUACUUCUGUUGGCUUGUAAGCUUGAUCUUCAUUGAGAUUGAAAUCCUCCCCAGCUUGGUCUGCACUGUCCUCAGUGGCUGGCUUAGGUCCCUCUCUGGUUGGAAGUUCUUUACCACUGCGCAAGGUGAUAGCAUGAGCUUGAGCAUAGUCUUUUGGAUUCUGAAUUGCUUUGCCUGGAAGUUGACAUAUAGGUUUUGGAGCAGAAGUGGAUGCAGAUUGUCCUUCCAAGUAUCGGACUUUGGAAUUCAGUGCCUCAACUUUGACAUUUAAGUCAUUGUAGCUACAGUCCAGCUUAUUGUGUAAUUCAGAUAUCUUCUUAGCAAUCUCCAUGGAGCCAGAUGCUUGUCCUUGGAGAAGCUGUUGUAGCAUUUGCUUCAUGUCAGAAUCAGGGGCAGCAUGACCUUGGUGUUGCUGAGGUGCAAACCCAGGUGGUGGUUGCUGCUGGUAGUUCCCCUGAAAUUGUUGCUUGGGAGCAAAGCCUUGGUUGUAGGGAACAAAAGGUUUAUUCUGACCCUGCUGUUGUUGUGGAGGAUACACUUGAUCCUGUGGAUUAGCAACGUUGGUGCUGCGGUAAGAAAGGUUGGGGUUGUUAGUCUUGAAGUUGUUAUACCCUUUAUAGCCGCCUUGAUUGUUGAUGUAGCUGACCUCUUCUAACUGGUUCCCCUCCCCAUCUUGGACUUGAUACUGCUCGUCAUCAAGUAGAAAGUGCACAUUCUUCUGCUGGCCAAGGAUAAGCCUAUCCAGUUUCUCAUUAAGAGCUUUCAUCUCUUUACUAUGCUUUGCAUCCGAAUCGCCAAUACCUCUGUUGGAGCGAUCAAAAUCCUCGUUAUAAUUACCAUCGGAUUGAGCUAAGUUCUCAAUUAAUUCCCAGCCUUCUUCAACAUCCUUAUUCAAGAAAUUCCCAUUAGAAACAGUGUCCAGCAACAUUCUGAUCUUGGGCAAAACUCCCCUGUAGAGUGUGCUUAGUAGAGAAGCCUUCUUGAAACCAUGGUGUGGACACUGUAUAGUGUAGCCUUUGAAUCUCUCCCAAGCUUCAUAAAUGGAUUCAGACUGCUUUUGGGUAAAACUGGAGAUUUCAUUCCUAAGCCUUGCAGUUCUUGAAUUUGAGAAGAACUUUGUUAAGAAGGCCUUCUUGCAAUCGUCCCAAGAUGUGAUGGAGCCAGCAGGUAACGUCUUUUCCCAUUGGUGUGCUUUGUCUCCCAGUGAGAAGGGAAACAGGCGCAGCUUGAAACUGUCCUCACUAACACCGUUUAUCUUGGUUAGGCUACAGAGCUUGUCGAAGUUAUCCAAGUGGUCUAAGGGAUCUUCCAGAGGCAGACCAUGGAACUUGUUUCCUUGAAUCAUCGAGAUGAGACCACUUUUAAUCUCGAAGUUGUUGUUUUGGACAGCAGGAGGCACAAUUCCUUGCCUCUGAUGGUGGUUUCUUGGUGCAUCUCCAGCACCAAUGUUUGCAGGCAGAUUGUUGACAUCUUGUUCAUCAGCCAUUCGGAAAGGAUGGUUGUGUUCAAGGUCUGUAGUGUCUCUCCUUUCCCUUAGUUCUCUGUCAAUACGGUCAAUGUUAUCGUUGAAAAGGAGGUUCUGGUUGCCUUUUGAUCGAGUUUGCAUACAGCAGGGUUGUACCUGGAUCAAGAAGACAACAAGAAAAACAAAAAGUUAGUAACCUAAGUGAAAAUUGAAAUAGAACUUGAUCUAAGCAAGUCUGAAAUCUCAAAUGUAACAAACAAACACCCAAAUGGCAACGGCGCCAAAUUGAUAGUAGGAUUUUAACUAAGAUCAAUUAUCCUUAAAUCACUAUCAUGUCAUUGCAGUAUUUAAGGUGUCAAUCCAAAUGGGUGUGAUGCUAGCAAUCAAGAUGCAAUCAGAUUUCACAGAGUCAAGCCAAGCAAUAACAGGUUUUGAUGUUGUUAACAGUUCCAGUGAUCAUGCAGAAAACAAUAAUUCUAACAGAAACAGAUAACACACUCGAUCACACAGCUUGAUGCCAAGCACUGGAUGUGGUCGAGUGCCAGGUCGAGUACCAAACAGAAACUGCAACAAAUGUACUCGACUGCACAGUCCGUUUCCAAACCGCUGGGUGUGGUCGAGUACUUCAAGUGAAAUAAGUAAAAAAGCAAAAACUAAGCAACAAGUAACGAGAUCAAGCAAUCAAUAGCGAUGUGAACAAAGAAAUCAAUUGGAAGAGAAAUUCCCGAGGAUGGGGUGAUCGAGUAGUGAAGUCUCCUUAAUCUAACAGGUGGUUAACAUGCUCAACAAACUAUCACUAGACAACAAGUUCAAUAGCCAAAUCAAAGUGCUACCGCAACAGAGAUCCUCAAGCAAAGCUAGUCCCAGACUCAAUCACCAUUGACGAGAGCUAACCUAACAUGCAUUACGAAACAACAAGUCUAAGCCAAAACGCUCCCUGUAACCAAUACCUUGGUACAGAGCCACGAAUCUCUGGAAUUAGUGGUUCAGACAUUUCAUUGAACACCUUUUGGGUGCGGAAAUGUCUGGGCUCAGAUUCCAGUUGAUCAGAAAGCAAUCAGCAUUAAGAACAACUAAUCCAGAAGGGAUCUACCAAUCAAACUCAACCACCUAGCAGAUCAAGGAUUCUAAACUACUCUAACCCAUCCUCAAGAAUCCUAAUCACUACUCAAAAUUCAUAACCAAGAACACAAACCCAGAAAUACAUAAAAACUUCAUAUUAGCAAGAUCUCAACAAGAUGAACAACUUUGUAGAAGAAAUCAAAAGCAAAUACUCAAUAGAUUAAGAGAAAUCUGGAUUAUAAAUAUGAAGAAAGCACUAAUUGUUCUGCAGAAUAAAACUUAGUCUGAAAAUUAUGAGAAACAACCUAUUUAUAGCAAAUACUAGGAAACCCUAAAUCACAAGACGACAAAGUAUUAAGGCGGUUUACGGAGACAUUCGGCUUCGUGCAAUAGAGUGAAGAGGUCGAGCAAAGCUGGCUCCUUUGCGGUUUCUUGAUCUGGUCGUGAUGCGAUCGAGUGACUAGGUCGAGUAUGCACUCGAGUCCCGCUUCAUCUUCUUCUCUUCCUUAUGCUCAGUGUCUGGUUGAGUUGGGAUCUGAGAAGCCUCUGAAGCGUGCAGUCGAGUGCUUGGUCGAGUAAGUUGGUGGAGGAUACUCGACUGCGUGCUCGAGUCGUGAUCUGGAGUCGUGGUCUACUUGGUGAAGGAGCUGGUACUCGACCACGAGGUCGAGUGGUAGGUCGAGUUGGUGAAGGAGAGGGUACUCGACUUGGUGAUCGACUUGGUGAUCGACUUGGUGAUCGACUUGGUGCUCGACUUGGUGGUGGUCGAGUGCAUUUGGAAGGUCAUGAUGAUGGUGCUCGACCUCGUGGUCGAGCAUACUGAUGGGUUCUGGUCCACUUCUUCCAAUUUGCUCACCAACAGCUCCAAAUCACCUGAAAACAACUCAAAUAUGCAACAUGCAUGCAAAACUAUCCUAAUCAUGCAAAGUGAUGACAAAUGACGAAGAAUGGUAUGAAACAAUGACGAAAUGAUGAUAAAGUGAUGCUAAAUGGAUGCUCAAAACAAGUAAAAUAUAGACAUAUCACUUCACCUUCUUUAAAUCAGUGAAAGAAAGACUAACACAAACCACAAACACUUUCAGUCAUAUAUUUUCUUAUACUUUAACCCUUUAGUCUUCUCUUCCACACGUCUUUUAACACUCACAGCCACUACAAUAUAGAUCCUAUGAAUCCAUAUUUUUAGUCUUCUGGUUUCCUGGACCUGUUGCAAAGUCAACAAGAAGGCAUAGCUUUUACCAAUCCGUAUGUGAGUAUGUCACCAAGUACUGUCAUUGGAUCAUCUGAAGUCCCAGCCUUUAGUACACAAUGCUCUGAUGAAGGAAGUGAAGGUGAAGCCAGACCUAAGGUAGGUAUAUCAAGCAAGAAAUGGAGCCCAAAAGAGGAUGUUGUUCUCAUAAGUGCAUGGUUGAACACCAGCAAGGAUCUUGUGAUAAGGAAUGAGAAAAAAUCUAAUUCCAUUGGGAAACGGAUUGCAGCCUAUGUAGCCUCUAGUCCGCAACUUGAUGGUCACCCAAAGAGAGAGCAUACUAAGGCCUUGGAUGUACGACGCGGUGCGGUGCGUAUCUGUCAAAACUACAGUUAAAUUUACCAUUCAACAUAACUUUUUUUUGUGAUUGUUGAUUAAAAUAAUGAAAAAACUAAUUGUUACUAUGGCGGGUCCAAUUAUAACAGAGAAACGACGAAACGCAUGUGGCCAUAGAAAUGCAUCAAAUAUGAUGUGGUUAAACAAUUGAAGUGUGAUCAUAUUUUUUUAUUUAUUUAUUAUAAUCCAAAAAAUUUUAGAACAAUUCAUAAGAGACAAAAAAAUGAUAUCGAUCACUACAAUUCUAAAGUAAAAUUUGGUUAACCCAAAUAUUAUAAAAUAUUUAUUGUUUGUGAAAUAUUUUCAUAAUUUUGCAAUAAUAAAUUUGUAAUUCAUAAAUCUAAAAUUCUUAUUGUUAACUUCAUUUUAUUAUUACUAUUUUUCCCUUAAAAAUAUUAAAAUAUAUUUUACCAAACGAUAUCUAACUCGAACCCGAAAAAAACCGAGCCCAAACUGGACAUAUUCUUUUGUUGUUUAUGAUCAUUACUAAAAUAUGUAAAAAGUUUGAUCAUUAAUUAAAUAACUUAUUAAUAAUUAAUUUAUUUUAUUGUAUUGAUUUUUGUUUAAAAUAUAUAUUGCGAAUCACUUGAUGUAUUUUUUAUCAUUCAAACAUUUGUACUACACCGCAUGGUGUUUUUUUCACCAUUCAUAAAUUAUCCGAACUACCCGAUCCCCUUGAUCAGCAAAUGUUCUGCAUACUGCGUUUCUUCUUAAUAAACCGCAGUUAAACUGCACCGCACUACUAAAUCCGCUUGAUUCGCACCGCUCAAUCCGCUUGAUCCGCACCGCUCAAUCCGCUUGAUCCGCACUGCUCAAUCCGCUGUUCCCAUUCGAAGCCUAAGUGUAAGCAAAGGUGAGGGAAGAUCAAUGAUGCAAUCAAUAAGUUUGUGAGUUGUUAUUCAGCAGCAACAAAUCAGAAAGCUAGUGGGCAAAGUGAGUUGUUUACUGAAAUGUUGUUUUAGGUUGUUUCAAAUUUCUUAGUUUUAGGUUUAUGUUUGAUAUUUCCAUGUAAGUUUUUCAUGAUUCAUGUUCUUAAGAGCAUGAAUAAAUGUCUCGGAUAAUGUAUGGUGUUGUGUUUAUAUUAAUGUACGAAGUAUUAUGAUUUUGUGUUUGGUCUAAGAAUUGUGUCUCGUAUUGCAUUUUAUUGUUUCCGUUUGUGUUUGGUCUGAGAAAUCUUUAUGUUCUUGGUCUAACUUGCAUUAUAUUGUUUUUGUUUUGCAUAUAUUUUUUUUUUGGAGAGAUCACAAGUUCAAUAGUUUUUACAAAAAAGGUGAAAAGAAGACAAAGGAGCCACCACCACAACUUUUACAAGUCACAAGUUCAAUACCAUAGACGACAAAGAAGUCACCACCAGAUAUUGAUUUGUGUAUGACUCAUAUAGUUUUGUUUUUAUGUGUAGACACCACAAGUCUUUGUAUUUGUUUUAGUGAUUGUGAACCACAUAAAUUGUUCUUCUUUUAAACUGAUCGUACACUAACAUUGCUAUAUACUACAACACAAUGCUUAUUAUUUCACCACCAACCAUAAUUUUUCUU
rnacentral:lncRNA from 1 species